GACGUAGGGUGCGAGCGUUGUCCGGAUUUAUUGGGCGUAAAGAGCUCGUAGGCGGCUCGUCGCGUCGACCGUGAAAACCCGCAGCUUAACUGCGGGCUUGCGGUUGAUACGGGCGGGCUAGAGUUCGGUAGGGGAGACUGGAAUUCCUGGUGUAGCGGUGAAAUGCGCAGAUAUCAGGAGGAACACCAGUGGCGAAGGCGGCUCACUGGUCCGGUACUGACGCUGAGGUGCGAAAGCGUGGGGAGCAAACAGG
rnacentral:rRNA from 1 species